rnacentral:tRNA from 1 species
GGUUGUAGCUCGGUGGUAGAGCACUUGCCUUGCAUACAUGAGGUCCUGGGUUCGAUCCUCAGCACCA